GACCCGCAGCGAACGGCUCCGUANGACGUGGUCAAGCUACCCUGUGGACUGGGACACUCUNNGGAAACUUUUGGCUAAUCCUANAUAGCGUUUUUAGCCUGGAGUGGCAGAAACGCCAAACGCUCCGGCGCCACAGGAUGCGACUGCGGCCGAUUAGGUAGACGGUGGGGUAACGGCCCACCGUGCCGAUAAUCGGUACGGGUAGUGAGAGCUAGAGCCCGGAGACGGACUCUGAGACAAGAGUCCGGGCCCUACGGGGCGCANCAGGCGCGAAACCUUUACACUGCGCGACAGCGCGAUAGGGGGAUCCCAAGUGCGAGGGCAUACAGUCCUCGCUUUUUCCUACCGUAAGGUGGUAGGCGAA
rnacentral:rRNA from 1 species